UACGUAGGGUGCAAGCGUUGUCCGGAAUUAUUGGGCGUAAAGAGCUCGUAGGCGGUCUGUCGCGUCGGCUGUGAAAACCCGGAGCUCAACUCCGGGCCUGCAGUCGAUACGGGCAAACUGGAGUGUUGCAGGGGAGACUGGAAUUCUCGGUGUAGCGGUGAAAUGCGUAGAUAUCGAGAGGAACACCUGCGGCGAAGGCGGGUUGCUGGGCUGACACUGACGCUGAGGCGCGAAAGCUAGGGGAGCGAACGGG
rnacentral:rRNA from 1 species